CCAGACUCCUACGGGAGGCAGCAGUGGGGAAUAUUGCACAAUGGGGGAAACCCUGAUGCAGCGACGCCGCGUGAGUGAAGAAGUAUUUCGGUAUGUAAAGCUCUAUCAGCAGGGAAGAAGUUGACGGUACCUGAGUAAGAAGCCCCGGCUAACUACAUGCCAGCAGCCGCGGUAAUACGUAGGGGGCAAGCGUUAUCCGGAUUUACUGGGUGUAAAGGGAGCGUAGACGGCAAGACAAGCCUGGAGUGAAAGGCGGGGGCCCAACCCCCGGACUGCUCUGGGAACUGUCUGGCUGGAGUGCAGGAGGGGUAAGUGGAAUUCCUAGUGUAGCGGUGAAAUGCGUAGAUAUUAGGAGGAACACCAGUGGCGAAGGCGGCUUACUGGACUGUAACUGACGUUGAGGCUCGAAAGCGUGGGGAGCAAACAGGAUUAGAUCCCCGGGUA
rnacentral:rRNA from 1 species